rnacentral:rRNA from 1 species
CACCCGAUCCCAUCCCGAACUCGGCCGUGAAACCCGACCGCGCCAAUGGUACUAUCGCUCAAGCGAUGGAAGAGUAGGUCGUCGCCAGGC